CAGCGUAUAUUAAAGUUGUUGCAGUUAAAACGCUCGUAGUCGGAUUUCGGGGCGGUCUGUCCGGUCUGCCGAUGGGUAUGCACUGGUUGGGCCGUCCUUCCUUCCGGAGACCGUGCGUGCUCUUAACUGAGUGCGCUCGGGAGACGGAUCGUUUACUUUGAAAAAAUCAGAGUGUUUCAAGCAGGCAGCUCGCUCUUGCAUGGAUUAGCAUGGGAUAAUGAAAUAGGACUUUGGUGCUAUUUUGUUGGUUUCGAACACCGAAGUAAUGAUUAACAGGGACAGUCAGGGGCACUCGUAUUCCGCCGAGAGAGGUGAAAUUCUCAGACCAGCGGAAGACGAACCACUGCGAAAGCAUUUG
rnacentral:rRNA from 1 species